AAUUAAAACCCAACUAAUAUGUG
rnacentral:piRNA from 1 species